UGGAUCCAUGAUGAUCCACGCCAGUGAAUGAGUCAUCGAUGACGAAUAAUACGUGUCUGGAACUCUGAGGUCCAA
rnacentral:snoRNA from 1 species